CAGUGACCCCUCCUUAGAAUUCACUCUGAGUAUCUCCCGAGAUGGGAGGGUAUAUAAUUGGUAUGUAAGGUAUGUAUUUGGGAUGUCAGGGGGGGCAGUCUAGGUAGCGUUUGCAGUGAAGCCAUCAAGAUGGGUGGGCCUGUAUGUGAAGUUGGCAUGGCAGACAUCCUCCUGGCCAGCCCCCUUGCUUGCUGGACCAUUCUCUCUGCAUGGUCCUAGUGUCCGCCAUUUAGCACGAGUCCAAUGAUGCCCGACGACAGCUCCCUCCAGGGAACUAAACUUGCGUGUCGGGAAAGAACUCCGAAAUUGGGGCUGUUAGGGGCCCUAAAUUUAAAUUCAGU